CAGGAUGAACGCUAGCGACAGGCUUAACACAUGCAAGUCGAGGGGCAGCACGGGAGUAGCAAUACUUGGUGGCGACCGGCGCACGGGUGAGUAACGCGUAUGCAACCUACCUAUCAGAGGGGAAUAACCCGGCGAAAGUCGGACUAAUACCGCAUAAAACAGGGGCACCGCAUGGUGAUAUUUGUUAAAGAAAUUCGCUGAUAGAUGGGCAUGCGUUCCAUUAGGUAGUUGGUGAGGUAACGGCUCACCAAGCCGACGAUGGAUAGGGGAACUGAGAGGUUGGUCCCCCACACUGGUACUGAGACACGGACCAGACUCCUACGGGAGGCAGCAGUGAGGAAUAUUGGUCAAUGGGCGGGAGCCUGAACCAGCCAAGUCGCGUGAAGGAAAAGAAGGAUCUAUGGUUCGUAAACUUCUUUUGCAGGGGAAUAAAGUGCAGGACGUGUCCUGUUUUGUAUGUACCCUGAGAAUAAGGAUCGGCUAACUCCGUGCCAGCAGCUGC
rnacentral:rRNA from 1 species